rnacentral:rRNA from 1 species
UACGUAGGUGGCAAGCGUUGUCCGGAUUUACUGGGCGUAAAGAGCGCGCAGGCGGUCGUUCAAGUCGCGUGUGAAAGCCCCCGGCUCAACUGGGGAGGGUCAUUCGAUACUGUCCGACUCGAAGGCAGGAGAGGGAAGCGGAAUUCCCGGUGUAGUGGUGAAAUGCGUAGAUAUCGGGAGGAACACCAGUGGCGAAGGCGGCUUCUGGCCUGUUCUUGACGCUGAGGCGCGAAAGCUGAGGGGAGCGAACGGG